GAUGAACGCUGGCGGCGUGCCUAAUACAUGCAAGUCGAGCGAACAGACGAGGAGCUUGCUCCUCUGACGUUAGCGGCGGACGGGUGAGUAACACGUGGAUAACCUACCUAUAAGAGUGGGAUAACCUCGGGAAACCGGCGCAAAUACCGGAUAAUAUAUUGAACCGCAUGGUUCAAUAGUGAAAGACGGUUUUGCUGUAACUUAUAGAUGGAUCCGCGCCUCAUUAGCUAGUUGGUAAGGUAACGGCUUACCAAGGCAACGAUGCGUAGCCGACCUGGGAGGGGGAUCGGCCACACUGGAACUGAGACACGCUCCAGACUCCUACGGGAGGCAGCAGUAUGGAAUCUUCCGCAGUGGUCGAGAGCCUGACGGAGCAACGCCGCGUGAGUGAUGGAGGUCUUCGGAUCGUAAAACUCUGUUAUUAGUGAAGAACAAAUGUGUAAGGAACUAUGCACUUCUUGACGGUACCGAGUCAGAAAGCCACGGCUAACUACGUG
rnacentral:rRNA from 1 species